AUGGUAAAACAUACUCUUGAUAAGGGUAAGACUUUAGUUCAAUUCUAAAAUAACCUA
rnacentral:tRNA from 1 species